rnacentral:rRNA from 1 species
UACGUAGGGUGCGAGCGUUAAUCGGAAUUACUGGGCGUAAAGCGUGCGCAGGCGGUUAUUUAAGUCAGGUGUGAAAGCCCUGGGCUUAACCUAGGAAUUGCGCUUGAGACUGGAUAGCUUGGAGUGCGGCAGAGGGAGGUGGAAUUCCGACGUGUAGCAGUGAAAUGCGUAGAGAUGCGGAGGAACACCGAUGGCGAAGGCACUCCCUGGGCCUGCACUGACGCUCAUGCACAAAGCGUGGGGGAGCAAACAGG